rnacentral:misc_RNA from 1 species
CCAAUAGCGUAUAUUAAAGUUGCUGCAGUUAAAAAGCUCGUAGUUGAAUUUCGGGACUAAUAUGUCGGUCGUGCCUCGGUACGUACUGGUAUUUUUGGUUUCUCCCUUCUGACGAACCUUGAUGUCAUUAAUUUGGUGUCUUGGGAAAUCAGGACUGUUACUUUGAAAAAAUUAGAGUGUUUAAAGCAGGCUCACGCUUGAAUACAUUAGCAUGGAAUAAUGAAAUAGGACGUUUGAUUCUAUUUUGUUGGUUUCUAGGAUCGACGUAAUGAUUAAUAGGGAUAGUUGGGGGCAUUAGUAUUCAAUUGUCAGAGGUGAAAUUCUUGGAUUUAUUGAAGACUAACUACUGCGAAAGCAUUUACCAAGGAUGUUUUCAUUAAUCAAGAACGAAAGUUAGGGGAUCGAAGACGAUCAGAUACCGUCGUAGUCUUAACCAUAAACUAUGCCGACUAGGGAUCGGAUGAUGUUAAUUUUUUAAUGACUCAUUCGGCGCCUUACG